rnacentral:rRNA from 1 species
UACGGAGGGUGCAAGCGUUGCUCGGAAUUAUUGGGCGUAAAGGGUAGGUAGGUGGUCUCAUUUGUCUGGGGUGAAAGCCUUGAGCUUAACUCAAGAAGUGCCCCAGAAACGGUGAGACUAGAGUCCUGGAGAGGGUCGUGGAAUUCCCGGUGUAGCGGUGAAAUGCGUAGAGAUCGGGAGGAACACCAGAGGCGAAGGCGGCAAGCUGGAUGGGCACUGACACUCAACUACGAAAGCGUGGGGAGCAAACAGG